rnacentral:rRNA from 1 species
CCUACGGGAGGCAGCAGUGAGGAAUAUUGGUCAAUGGGAGAGAUCCUGAACCAGCCAAGCCGCGUGAGGGAAGACGGCCCUAUGGGUUGUAAACCUCUUUUGUCGGAGAACAAAACCCGGGACGUGUCCCGGGCUGCGUGUAUCCGAAGAAAAAGCAUCGGCUAACUCCGUGCCAGCAGCCGCGGUAAUACGGAGGAUGCGAGCGUUAUCCGGUUUUAUUGGGUUUAAAGGGUGCGUAGGCGGGCCGUUAAGUCUGCGGUAAAAUGUCGGGGCUCAACCCCGUGGGGCCGUUGAAACUGGCAGACUUGAGUUGGCGAGAAGUACGCGGAAUGCGCGGUGUAGCGGUGAAAUGCAUAGAUAUCGCGCAGAACUCCGAUUGCGAAGGCAGCGUACCGGCGCCAGACUGACGCUGAGGCACGAAAGCGUGGGGAUCGAACAGGAUUAGAUACCCCAGUAGUC